GUUUGAUCCUGGCUCAGAUUGAACGCUGGUGGUAUGCUUAACACAUGCAAGUCGAACGGUAACAGAAGAGCUUGCUCUUGCUGACGAGUGGCGGACGGGUGAGUAACGCGUAGGAAUCUGCCUAUUAGUGGGGGAUACCAGUUGGAAACGACUGUUAAUACCGCAUAAUAUCUACGGAUUAAAGGUGGCCUUUGUGCUGCCGCUGAUGGAUGAGCCUGCGUUAGAUUAGCUUGUUGGUGGGGUAAAGGCCCACCAAGGCCGCGAUCUAUAGCUGAUUUGAGAGGAUGAUCAGCCACAUUGGAACUGAGACACGGUCCAAACUCCUACGGGAGGCAGCAGUGGGGAAUAUUGGACAAUGGAGGAAACUCUGAUCCAGCAAUACCAUGUGUGUGAAGAAGGCUCUAGGGUCGUAAAGCACUUUAGUCAGGGAGGAAGUAUUAUUUGUUAAUAACNUUUAAUUUUGACGUUACCUGAAGAAUAAGCACCGGCUAACUCCGUGCCAGCAGCCGCGGUAAUAAGGGCGAAU
rnacentral:rRNA from 1 species